AACGAACGCUGGCGGCAUGCCUAACACAUGCAAGUCGAACGAGACCUUCGGGUCUAGUGGCGCACGGUUGCGUAACGCGUGGGAACCUGCCCUUAGGUUCGGAAUAACUCCCCGAAAGGGGUGCUAAUACCGGAUAAUGUCUUCGGACCAAAGAUUUAUCGCCUUUGGAUGGGCCCGCGUUGGAUUAGCUAGUUGGUAGGGUAAAAGCCUACCAAGGCGACGAUCCAUAGCUGGUCUGAGAGGAUGAUCAGCCACACUGGGACUGAGACACGGCCCAGACUCCUACGGGAGGCAGCAGUGGGGAAUAUUGGACAAUGGGCGAAAGCCUGAUCCAGCAAUGACGCGUGAGUGAUGAAGGCAUUAGGGUUGUAAAGCUCUUUUAACCGGGAUGAUAAUGACAGUACCGGGAGAAUAAGCUCCGGCUAACUCCGUG
rnacentral:rRNA from 1 species